UUUGAAAUUUGUUUCCCUUCCAAUAUGGUUUUAGGCGCUCAAAUUUUCAACUUUCCCUCUCAUGUUUUUCAGAUUCAGGCACUGAUUUUACUAUCGUUUUUGGCUGUGGGUAAAAAUACUCUUUUCAACUUGUUCCAACCUACAAAUGCACUGUCAGAGGCAUAGCAACUAGAAACCCUAGUUCUCACUCCCUCUCCUAACAUCGUCAAUUUCGUCCAUUCGGCCAUCUCCCAAAACAGCCGCCAGCCUUACGCCGUCUACCGCCGCGCCGGCCACCAGUCAUCCGCCGAGUCUUGAGGAACUGGUCGUGCUGUCUCCCUUAUCGCUCGUGUCCCCGGUGGUGGUACCCAUGACAUUGCAUAUCGACACCCUUGCGGCGACGGCAGUGAACGGCGGUGACGAUGAUACCUCGGUGAUGCUUAGAAGAACCGCGGCAACCGCCGCGAACUCAUCGGAGGAUAGUGUUCUUCCCUCUCCUCUGAACAUGCGCGCCUUCAUGCCGAAUUGCUCCGCCGUGGAAUCGUCGUAUCUAAAGCAUGGCAGCGAGCACAUAGUUAUGUUAUCAUGUAGUUGUAGACUUUAUUAUUUACUGCAAUGGAGAUUUGAUCUACUUGUAUUUUUGUACAGAUUGAAAAUGAUUAAGGAUCUAUGGAGUCUGAAAUUGGUGUUCCUGGUUAAACCUUUCCCAAGUGGGCAACAGAUAUAGCUCUACGACUUGGGGUUGGGGUUCCAUUCAAUUGUGCAAGCAAGAUGAUACUCCUGAUACUGUUCGCUGGAGGAGGAGGGAUCGUGGGAGGUGGUGAUUCCACGGCAUAUAUGAGCGCACAUGGAAGGGGUAGAGGAGGGGAGAUUGAGAGAGAUGUGUCUUCCAUGGCAGCAUCUUUGGAGUCUUGAGGUCCAAGGUUUGUGGUUUAAGUUAAUGUCUUGGCUGCCUGAGUAAUUUAUUCCCUUGGAUUUGAGCCUAAUUGUUCUUCUUGUUUUUGGGUGGUGUAGGAUUUUGUUCUUGUCAUUUUCUAUUUUCCUUUCAUGUAUGUACUCAAGUUGAAAGCUCCUGGGUCAUUUUCACUCGCUUGGCCCAAUUUUCUUAUGUGUAUUUGAUUUUUAUUAUAUGAAAACUCAGUUCAAUUAGUUCUGGUUUUGUGAGAAACGACUAUAAUGACUUAUAUCUAUCUUAUCCCUGCAUUGGCUGGUUGCUUGGGUUUGUAUAUAUUAGUUUGCUUUCUGAAGGGUAAUCCUUUAACAUAAAUGGAAAGACAAACUGUGUGAACUUCGUCAAAGAGUUAAGUGGGAUAUGAACUUCAAAAUUAAGAUGUAACAUAUUUCCUUUACACCACAUACUCUAUUAUUCAUACUCCAUUCAAUUAUUUCUUUUGUGAUUAAUCUCAAGUAGUAAUUGACCUAUGAAGAAAUUAAAAUUCAUUCAGGGAUUUUAUCUUACAACAAUUUUACGAAGUCUUCUGCAUCUAGCUUCUAGCUCUUGGAUCUGUAUGGUUCUCUUUGUCUAGCAUUAUUUAAGCAUUUCACAUAUGUCGAUAGUUACUUACUCUACUAAACUGAGCAUGAAUUUGGCUUCAAGCCAUUCUUCUUCAAUGGUUACUUCACCUUCGUAAGUUCUUUGCUUAUUUUUCUAUUGUCUUAUCAAUCUUGACUCGUAUGCUGAAACUCCUUAUUGUUCAUCUUAUAAAACUUUUUGUUUGAAGAUAAACUUACCUUCUGUUGUAAAACCCCAGUACGUAUGAUUGUUGAUAUUUAGAAAGUUGAAGCUGAUUCAAGAUAGUGAAGGAGAUUUUUGGCCAGUAUACAAGGUAACUGUGGAUAGAUUAUAGUUUGUCUGACUUAGCAGUAUAAGUUUUCAAUAUACUGGGGCAUGCCACUUAUCCUACUAAUCUUCUGUUUUCAUGCCUAGCUUCCAUUAGCAUAAAUGGUGUUUAUUCCAAGUCACUCAUGUAUCACAAGUGGAGAGAACAUUGGAUCCUUUAUUUAUUUUCUUCUAAGAGAGAAAAAUGUUUGAUAGUAUUUUCAGGAAAACUAGUAGAGUAUGAUGAGCCAAUGAACCUGAUGAAGAGAGAAUGUUUGUUGCUUGGGAAGCUUGUCAAAGAAUACUGGUCUCAUUUUCAGUCUGCAGAAUCUCAUUGAAGCUGAAUGCCUUUCUAGCUCUUCUGUCUUUUUCUGUGGGAUUGGUAAGAAGCCAAGAAAUUGUAAAUAAAAGUAGGGUGUAAGAUGUAUUAUUUGGACAAAUUCUAAGGCCAGGUAGGAAAAGGAUUAGAGGGACUUAGAUGUGAAUGGUGCAGAUGGAUUCAAAAGAAACAUUUCUAGGAAAACUCAUUAUCUCAUUCUGGACGAGGUGUAUAAACAGUUUCAGUUUGGAAAACAACAUUAUUUAGAAAUGUACUUGAGAUACAUGAUUUUGUUGAGGAAUGCGGAUAAAGUUGGUUCGAAGACACUGAUGUUCUAAAGUGCAACAUGUGUUAUGUUCAGGAGAGCAACAUGUGUUAUGUUCAUGAGAGGAAGUGCAUGCCAUCUCUUCGACAAGUCUUUGUUGCUGCAAGUUAUUAAUUUACUGUUUUUGCUUACUGUUUGGAAUUCUCCAGACUCGUAACAAAAAAUCCAGAAAAUUACAAGGGUUGAUUUAUUUGUACAUAUUGCAAUGAGAAUUACAUGUAGUUAUUUUUAACCUUUAGAUAGAUAACAGAUGUUGUUUUACAAGUUGCAAAAUUUAAUGAACUGAAUUUUAUUAUUAU